AAUUGUAUUUCAUGUUCGGGCAAAGCUGCAAAGAUUUGAGACAAAAAGACGCACAUUUUGCCUGAUAAAUGGUGAAGAAUUUUACCUCGGGGAAUGAUUUUGUACUCGGGACCACAGAGAGCAAAAAAUAAAAG
ensembl:ncRNA F09F9.15 ncRNA